rnacentral:sRNA from 1 species
GCUGGGCGCAGUGGUGCAUGCCUGUAAUCCCAGCAGCUUGGGAGGCUGAGGCAGGAGGAUCACGAGUUCAAAGCCAGCCUCAGCAAAAGCGAGGUGCUAAGCAACUCAGAGAGAGCCUGUCUCUA